GACAGAGAAGAUGAUGUGACAGUCCCAACAGUUGUGCAUCAUACCCAGAAGGUUGCAGCUCCUGCUUUUACCAGCAAGGCACCACGCCAAAUCUAUCUGGUCCAUCUUUAUUGAUUCAUCACAAACAUCAGAUGAAAGAAGUGGGUUCGCCUUACCCUCACUCCUCUUCCCUCAUGCUCUGACAACCUGCAGACAUCUCAGAUGAGUGGCAUUCUUCCCACAGAGACACCAAGUCUCAGACUUGGAUGAAUGAACAGGAAGGAGAAAAUGCCCAUGCUCCACUAUGUACUCUCAGCCUGCCAACACAACCAAGAGAAAGAGAAGGACAGAGAGGGAGAGACAGAGUGGUGCUGAGUGUCUUCCACCAAGGUCAAACUACAAUACAGCAAUCUAAUUAAGAGUAUCACAGAGUUUCCUGUAUGGGGUCAACCUCCCAUUUGUUCUCAGAGAAUCAUAUUGUCCAUUAUGUAUUA
rnacentral:lncRNA from 1 species